AGCGACUGUGCAGGUUACCGCGGCUGCUGGCACGGAGUUAGCCGGUGCUUCUUCUGCGAGUAACGUCACAGAUGUAAGGUAUUAACUUACACCCUUUCCUCCUCGCUGAAAGUGCUUUACAACCCGAAGGCCUUCUUCACACACGCGGCAUGGCUGCAUCAGGGUUUCCCCCAUUGUGCAAUAUUCCCCACUGCUGCCUCCCGUAGGAGUCUGGGCCGUGUCUCAGUCCCAGUGUGGCUGAUCAUCCUCUCAGACCAGCUAGGGAUCGUCGCCUAGGUGAGCCUUUACCUCACCUACUAGCUAAUCCCACCUGGGCUUAUCCAUCAGCGCAAGGCCCGAAGGUCCCCUGCUUUCCCCCGUAGGGCGUAUGCGGUAUUAGCAGUCGUUUCCAACUGUUAUCCCCCACAAAUGGGCAAAUUCCCAGGCAUUACUCACCCGUCCGCGCUCGUCAUCUUCAAAAGCAAGCUUUUGAAAUGUUACCGCUCGACUUGCAUGUGUUAGGCCUGCCGCCAGCGUUCAAU
rnacentral:rRNA from 1 species